ensembl:lncRNA novel transcript
GACCAUCAUCACCCAAUGAGGAUGGAGAGAAACUGAGGCUGGCCUGAGAUGUCCUGAGGAAUGAGCUGGCACCAGAGUCCCACAGGUGAAGGGCUCAGAGGAAAUGGUCAUGGAGGAUUCGGGCUGACCACUGGGAACUCACGGUCCAGCGAAGGGCAGCGGUGAACAGCUGUCCUGGCUUUGCCCCUGCGGCAGGCCCAUAGAAUGACGAGAGCAGUUGGCAUCCACAGCAUUUCCUGAGCAGAUGCUGCCCUUGCUCCCAAGCUGCUCCCAGCCUAACAGAGACAGAGGAACAGCAAGUGUCACCAGGGGCAGGGCCAGGGCUGUGGGAGCCCAGAGGAGUGCCUUACCCAACCCGAGUCGGUCCAAUAAGAAGUGGGAAGUGCCUGAAAAUAUUGGAAGAGCUCGCCAGGCUUUCCACGCCUCUCUGUGACACCCUCCUUUGAGCGCCUGCAUUCCUGGGAGUGAGAUGGUUGUCCGUGGUCUCUCCCCCACGACAAGAUGGAAGUUCUGCCCAGCUGUACGCUGGGGGUCUGAAACCGUCCCUGUAAACUUCAUAAAAUUAACCAGGGAAGAAUAGAGGGGGGAAAACAAAAAUGAACUCAGUGCGGCGCCCUCUGUGCUCGUCCCUGGGUGGCCACGCUCCAACCCACCACCUUGUGCCCAUCUGCUGCUAUGGCCCCAGAGUCACGCAGGCCCGGCCACAAGAGCAUCGCCCCCUCGACUGCUCUGCAGACGACAGCCUGAGCACUGGGAACGUGUUUUCCCCUGAGAUACCCCUUCAGGCUCUGCGUGCCAAGGACACUCCUGACACCAGCUGUCCUGAGGACCCCAGAGGAGCUGACUCGCCCAAGAACAUGGUCCCAGAUACUGAUGACUCAUCUCCCUUCCCUGACCUGACCAAUCAACAAGCCUAAUUCUCCAGCCCCUCACCCUUCACCAUUCCCUGAAAAACCUCACCCCAGCCCAGGCUAGGUGCAGUGGCUCAUGCCUGUCAUCUCAGCACUUUCGGAGGUCAAGGUGGGAGGAUGGCUUGAGGCCAGGAGUUCAAGACCAGCCUGGGCAACAUAGUGAGACUCCAUUUCUACCAAGAAUAAAAAAAAUUAUCUGGGCUUGGUGGUGUGUGCCUGUGGACCCAGCUACUCAGGAGGCUGAGGCAGAAGAGUCUGAGUCCAAGAGAUUGAAGCUGCAGUCAGCCAAGAUCGCACCAUUGCACUCCAGCCUGGGCAAC